GGUCAGUGAUGAUCAGUAAAAGGUCUGAUUACCCACAAUCCCCUCCUGCUGCCCUCUGGCUCCCAGCAGCCCCUGCUCUGUAUCCCAUCAUGCUCUAGUGGUGCAGUGGUGGUCCCAGGAGCUGCUGACAGACAGGAUGUGACAUCACAGUGAGUCUGUACAGAGAUCCUACAGGCUCUGUGUGAUGUCAUCCAACAGAACCAAUCAGCAUGGAGCGUCAGGCUGAGAAGGAGGAGGAGGGAGCUGAUCUCAAGUUUUCAACCUGAGACC
ensembl:scaRNA